rfam:Valsa mali strain 03-8 chromosome 7, whole genome shotgun sequence.
UCGGUCAUGGUGUAACGGUUAACAUUCAGGACUCUCAAUCCUGGGCUCCGAGUUCGAUUCUCGGUGACCGAG